rnacentral:rRNA from 1 species
AUUGAACGCUGGCGGCAUGCCUUACACAUGCAAGUCGAACGGCAGCACGGGUGCUUGCACCUGGUGGCGAGUGGCGAACAGGUGAGUAAUAUAUCGGAACGUACCUUAUUGUGGGGGAUAACGCAGCGAAAGCUGUGCUAAUACCGCAUAAUCCCUAAGGGGGAAAGCGGGGGACCGUAAGGCCUCGCGCAAUUAGAGCGGCCGAUACCUGAUUAGCUAGUUGGUGAGGUAAAGGCUCACCAAGGCAACGAUCAGUAGCUGGUCUGAGAGGACGAUCAGCCACACUGGGACUGAGACACGGCCCAGACCCCUACGGGAGGAAGCAGUGGGGAAUUUUGGACAAUGGGGGCAACCCUGAUCCAGCAAUGCCGCGUGAGUGAAGAAGGCCUUCGGGUUGUAAAGCUCUUUUGUCAGGGAAGAAACAGCAGCUCUAACACAGUUUGCGAAUGACGGUACCUGAAGAAUAAGCACCGGCUAACUACGUGCCAGCCGCCGCCGUAA